GUGACAUUGCCAGCAAUUGCCAUUGUAUUUUGGACACUAUUGUUCUAGCAUCCUGUCUAAAUAUUUGUUCUAUUUAUAUGAAAAUUCAAAUAUUACUCAAUCAUUUUAACUACUGCGGAAAUAAAUGCUACUAUAGACUAUUGUAGUGCGUGCGCAAGAUCUUCGCUGAACUAGCUACGUUCACUGCACUGGUGCUGGUGAGUAAUAUUAUUGUUUACCUGUUGGUUGAGCUCAUGUAGACUUCUGUGGUAGAUUCUAUCCUGUGGCAGAUCUCUCUAGUCACUGUUACAGGCCGGUACAAGUAAUAACAAAAUACUGAGCAUGCAGUACUGCCAGCUCAGUAUUUUGUUAUUACUUUUACCGGCCUGUAACAGUGACUAGAGAGAUCUACCACAGUAAAUAAUUAUAUAGAACAGUACAGUAUAGUAGUGAGUUCUUAGUCAUAUUCUUCUCAGUCCUGUUCUAGUUACAACACUUUUACUAAAUUAAAUUUAACUUUCUUUCUUGGCUCUUUGUUGUCCGCUUCUUUUGUGCUUUCUUCUUUUGUAUUUUUGGCUCUAAAUCCUAGCAACGUGUAGUCUGGGUUUAAAACUUCUGACACCUGGACAUCGUAUGUUUGGCUGAGCCUCACAACUUUCUUUAAAUAGUUCUGGGCCUUUUUCUGAGACCCCAUCGGAAAAUAAUGUGUUCCAGUAUCAUCUGCUGUUGUAAAAUAAAAUUGUUUUCCCUCAGUUCCAAUCUUUACUAGCGACCCAAUAGGAAAGGAGUUCCUGUGGUGUCUGAUCUCUCGUAAGUCGGAGUCGAUGUAGUACGGGUACGGGUGGAAGUGGCAGCAAUUUCCCAUCUCAAUUCUUUCUCUGUUCUUUUUUGUAUAGUAAUUUACUGAUUCACAUGACAGUAAUAGCAUGCAAUCAAUGGUAGUAAAGUGUGUCAAAUGAAUAGAGAUAAAAUCUUUAUGGUCACUAAUUAUUAAUCUUCCAGCAGACCUGUUCAUGCAGAUCGACCUGUUAUGGACUCGUCAAAGAGGCAACGACCUGAGAAAGGAUACUAUUCCUACCUCCAUAAUAUAAGCUCGGCUGACAUGGACUUAUCUAGCAUGCGGGAAGCACGAGAUGUGAGAACCACUCUGAGCUGUAAGUCUGAUGACAGUCUGCCAGAAGGGGUCUUCCUUGUUGAGAGGAUAAUUCAUCAUCGACUAACUAAGGGGAAAACGGAGUAUUUGGUAAAGUGGGCUGGUUACUCAUUGGAACAGUCUUCAUGGGUCGCUAAGGAAGAUGUGACUGUCUCUACUAUCCAAUCAUACAAUACACCACAAGCACCACAUACCGAGCUUAUAAGCGACGCAACAAGAAGAUUUGUUCUGUCCAUUCAAUGUAGUUUAAAUUUAGGUACUGUAAAAUCCUGUAAUUUAACUAUAGAUUUCCGGCUAGAUGUAUUUCGUUACCUAUUUAAAGAUCGAGGAACCCAAAUGACCCGCGGAAAGCUCCAACUUCAACAAACUGAUUUUAACGAUGAAUAUUUUAUAGGUAGUUGGUAUAUUUUGUAUGAUAGAUAUGGCAAUGGCUGCACAGUAGAUUUUCCUAUUGUAGUAUGUCCUAGAAUUAAGUAUGGACCGAAAACAUAUAGAAAUAGCAAUGGUGAAAUGUUAGAGUCACCUAGACUACUAUCUGAAAUUGUAUGUGUAAAUCUGGUGAAAAAACGUUGUUGAUCAUU